AGUGGGCCAGACAAUCGCGGGACCCUUUGGGUCGUGAGGAAAGUCCGGGCUCCACAGGGCAGGAAGCUGGCUAACGGCCAGGCGGGGCGACCCGACGGAAAGCGCCGCAGAAAAGAAGACUCCCGCUGCCUCUUCGAGGUGAGAGAAAAGCUGAAACGGUGGUGCAAGAGACCACCAGCGUCGUGGCAACACGGCGGCUUGGCAAGCCCCUUCCGGAGCAAACGCAAAUAGGAGCGCUAUGGUGUGGCCCGCACCGCGCUCGGGUUGCGCGCUAGAGGGUGCCGGCAACGGCAUUCGUAGAUAAAUGAUUGUCCACGACAGAACCCGGCUCAUAGGCCCACUUC
rnacentral:RNase_P_RNA from 1 species